rnacentral:rRNA from 1 species
GAUCCUAUGCUGCCAAGAAAAUCUUCUAGCGAGGUUCGAGCCGCCCGUACCCCAAACCGACUCAGGUGGUUAGGUAGAGAAUACCAAGGCGAUCGAGUGAAUCGUGGUUAAGGAAUUCGGCAAAAUGCCCCCGUAACUUCGGGAGAAGGGGGGCCCGGAACCUGAAGUGACGUGCUCACUAGGGUGAAGGGCCGCAGAGACC